CCCUUAGAUUUUCUGGGCUGCAUGCGCGCUACACUGAAGCUAUCAACACGUUUUCCCUCCCUGAGAAGGGCGGGUAACCUUUUGAAUCAGCUUCGUGGUAGGGAUCGGGGCUUGCAAUUGUUCCCCGUGAACCAGGAAUUCCUAGUAGACGCGAGUCAUAAGCUCGCAUCGAUUAAGUCCCUGCCCUUUGUACACACCGCCCGUCGCUACUACCGAUUGAACGUUUUAGUGAGGCAUUUGGACCGACGCAUCUCAGUUUAACCGCUGGUUUGUGUUGGAAAGACUUCCAAACUUGAGCGUUUAGAGGAAGUAAAAGUCGUAACA
rnacentral:rRNA from 1 species